rnacentral:RNase_P_RNA from 1 species
CGUGCAGGCUGGACAGUCGCGGGAAGCUGUGCUUCUCGAGGAAAGUCCGGACAUCGCAGGGCAGGGUGGUCGGUAACGCCGACCCGGGGAAACCCGCGGGAAAGUGCAACAGAAAGAACACCGCCCAAGUCCUGGGCUUCGCGGUUUUUCCGCGAGCCCGGAACCGGCAAGGUUGAAAAGGUGCGGUAAGAGCGCACCGGCGUCGCGGUGACGCGGCGGCCCGGCAAACCCCACCCGAUGCAAGGCCAAGCAGGACCGCUCGCAGGCUGCCCGCCAAGGUCCAGGUAGGCCGCUCAGAUGGAUGGCUGUCCACGACAGAAUCCGGCUUAUAGGCCUGCUACGGAAU